AGUCACGACACUGAAUUCUGAGUGGGUGGAGAGACUCUCUUGUCAGUUAUUGUCUUCAUAUUUCUCUGUUGGAUUUAUUCAUUUGAUUCUACUCGAUUGUAUUCACGCUGUUGUUGAGAAUUUUCUUCAUCUCUAGGAAAAUCAUUACUUUUGUCAAGUAAAUUUACUUGACAGAAUGAAAACGGUGAGCGUUGGAUAUUAUGAGGUUGAUUGUGAAUAGUCGGAUAUUCACCUGGUAUCGCACACCUCCAUCCUCAUCAUAUUUUCAUUAUAAUACAAUCUCAAAGCCGCGAGUCAAUUAUGCGAUCGCGUGUCUGAGGGAAUCUCUCGAGUUUCUGGAAAAUAGUGGAUUCAUACCGAUGGGAUUGUGGAAGAAAUGGGGGAACCACUGUUUUAUUAUGCUUGGCAUUAGAAUAAAGAUAAUUUGAUGAAUGGUGGGAUAGAGAGGGUGCAGGUCCACUUGUGUCUUCAUCUUCAAUACAAGACUCAUCCUCAUCCUCAUCUGGAAUAUGUGAGUACUCAGAGUCCAUAACUGUAUCUUUUCCGUGAGCGUUAUAUGCGUACCCAUUGCGCGUAAUACGCGCAACUCAUGCAGGAAGUCUAAGCCAGUCAUCCGAGAGAGAGAAAAAGAGAUAAUUUUCACGCUGAAUUGUUGGAAAAACUCGAUGGCCAAAGAAUUCUCGUGAAAAAGGUGAAGACAAAAUUGAAAACUACCAAUGUACAAUUUUCUUCAUAGAAAAUAAGAAAAUCAAAUCCAUGAAAAUGCCCUUUUCAGUGCAUGCAUCUAAACCAAUUGUUUCUUUGUGUAUUGCGUGAUCAAUUGAUGGGAAAAAUUCCCAAACGAUUUAUUCAAUGCAAUGGUGAAGAAAUAUGGAACACGUUGUGUAGAACAAGGCAAUUCGUCUAUGAUGUCUGUGUGGAAAUUUUGGCAUGACAACUUUUCUCUCCCACUUGAGAUAAUUUAUAACACCAUAAACCAUAAACUAGCACAACUUCCUUGGUAAAUAUAUACCUUGAAAAUUUAUAAUACGAAAGAUACUAAUGCGACAGACAAUCGUAUGUCAUUCUUUUCAUUUACCUUUUAUGAAUGGAAUCUAGGACUCGAGGGUUUUACAUUACAAUUUCUCGAGUUUCAUUCGAGGAAAAAAAGAAAUCUUUCUGAUUAGUGUAUUAAUAUUGGAACUCGAUUUAAUUUUCUUCCGUAGAAAGGAUAAAAAAUGUUAAUAAGUCGAUUCAUAUGAAUAAUUUG